rnacentral:rRNA from 1 species
UGCAGUCGAGCGAAUGGAUUAAGAGCUUGCUCUUAUGAAGUUAGCGGCGGACGGGUGAGUAACACGUGGGUAACCUGCCCAUAAGACUGGGAUAACUCCGGGAAACCGGGGCUAAUACCGGAUAACAUUUUGAACCGCAUGGUUCGAAAUUGAAAGGCGGCUUCGGCUGUCACUUAUGGAUGGACCCGCGUCGCAUUAGCUAGUUGGUGAGGUAACGGCUCACCAAGGCAACGAUGCGUAGCCGACCUGAGAGGGUGAUCGGCCACACUGGGACUGAGACACGGCCCAGACUCCUACGGGAGGCAGCAGUAGGGAAUCUUCCGCAAUGGACGAAAGUCUGACGGAGCAACGCCGCGUGAGUGAUGAAGGCUUUCGGGUCGUAAAACUCUGUUGUUAGGGAAGAACAAGUGCUAGUUGAAUAAGCUGGCACCUUGACGGUACCUAACCAGAAAGCCACGGCUAACUACGUGCCAGCAGCCGCGGUAAUACGUAGGUGGCAAGCGUUAUCCGGAAUUAUUGGGCGUAAAGCGCGCGCAGGUGGUUUCUUAAGUCUGAUGUGAAAGCCCACGGCUCAACCGUGGAGGGUCAUUGGAAACUGGGAGACUUGAGUGCAGAAGAGGAGAGUGGAAUUCCAUGUGUA